GGUGUCUUGGAGAAGUGGUUAACUCGCUCCCUUUGGGCUUGUGCAAGCUGGGAGAGGUCAGGGGUUCGAACCCCCUAGGCGCCC